rnacentral:tRNA from 1 species
GGGAAUGUAGCUCAGUGGUAGAGUGCUUACCUAGCAUGCAAGAGGCUCUGGGCUCAAUCCCCAAAAUUGCAA